rnacentral:rRNA from 1 species
GAUGAACGCUGGCGGCGUGCCUAAUACAUGCAAGUCGAGCGAACAGACGAGGAGCUUGCUCCUUUGACGUUAGCGGCGGACGGGUGAGUAACACGUAGGUAACCUACCUAUAAGACUGGGAUAACUUCGGGAAACCGGAGCUAAUACCGGAUAAUAUUUCGAACCGCAUGGUUCGAUAGUGAAAGAUGGCUUUGCUAUCACUUAUAGAUGGACCUGCGCCGUAUUAGCUAGUUGGUAAGGUAACGGCUUACCAAGGCAACGAUACGUAGCCGACCUGAGAGGGUGAUCAGCCACACUGGAACUGAGACACGGUCCAGACUCCUACGGGAGGCAGCAGUAGGGAAUCUUCCGCAAUGGGCGAAAGCCUGACGGAGCAACGCCGCGUGAGUGAUGAAGGUCUUCGGAUCGUAAAACUCUGUUAUUAGGGAAGAACAAACGUGUAAUUAACUGUGCACGUCUUGACGGUACCUAAUCAGAAAGCCACGGCUAACUACGUG